AAUACGGGGGGGGCAAGCGUUGUUCGGAAUUACUGGGCGUAAAGGGCGCGUAGGCGGCCUGCUAAGUCACACGUGAAAUCCCUCGGCUCAACCGAGGAACUGCGUGUGAUACUGGCGGGCUCGAAUUCGGGAGAGGGAUGUGGAAUUCCAGGUGUAGCGGUGAAAUGCGUAGAUAUCUGGAGGAACACCGGUGGCGAAGGCGGCAUCCUGGACCGACAUUGACGCUGAUGCGCGAAAGCUAGGGUAGCAAACGG
rnacentral:rRNA from 1 species